rnacentral:misc_RNA from 1 species
GUUUGUAUUAGGUAUGGCACCAUUUGGUGGUUUUGAUGAUGCGAAGAACAGUGAUUUUUCGUUUGAGAUCAAACCACCGGUGGUGAAUGUUAAGGAGGAGAUGAAAGAUGUGGUAAUUCCCAGACCUGACAAUGUCGUGGUAAACUCAGUUAAAUUACCAGGUUUGGGGGAGGAGGAAGUGCACGGGAAGUUUGAUUAUGUAUCCAGGAAACUGUUGAUUGUGGUUACUCCGACUUAUAAUAGGGCACUUCAAGCUUACUAUCUUCUUAGAUUAAGCGAGGUGUUGAAGCUUGUAAAAUCACCUCUGUUGUGGGUUGUGGUUGAGAUGAAUGUGGCGUCUGCAGAGACUGCAGACAUUUUGAGGAAGACAGGAGUUAUGUAUCGCCAUCUGGUGUGCUCCAAGAACAUGACAGAUAUAAAAGACCGCGGGGUGCACCAGAGAAAUGUUGCAUUGGAGCAUAUUGAACAUCAUAGGCUCAAUGGAAUUGUUUACUUUGCAGAUGAUGAUAAUAUCUACUCACUUGAGUUGUUUGAGAGCAUUAGAUCGAUCAAUCGUUUUGGCACUUGGCCUGUUGCUAUGCUAGCACAAAGCAAAAGUAAAGCAAUACUGGAGGGCCCUGUGUGCAAUGGAAGUCAAGUUAUUGGGUGGCACACCAAUGAGAAGAGUAAGCAACUUAGAAGAUUUCAUGUCGAUAUGUCUGGUUUUGCCUUCAAUAGCACUAUAUUAUGGGAUCCAAAGAAAUGGCAUCGACCAACUUCAGAUCCCAUACGACAGUUGGACAA